rnacentral:rRNA from 1 species
CACGUAGGCGGAUUGUUAAGUCAGGGGUGAAAUCCUGGAGCUCAACUCCAGAACUGCCUUUGAUACUGGCGAUCUCGAGUCCGGGAGAGGUGAGUGGAACUGCGAGUGUAGAGGUGAAAUUCGUAGAUAUUCGCAAGAACACCAGUGGCGGAGGCGGCUCACUGGCCCGGUACUGACGCUGAGGUGCGAAAGCGUGGGGAGCAAACA